UGCUGUGUGGCUGCGGUACUAAAGAAUAUAGCCGCCCUUUCCGCCUUCCCGUGGGUGACGUAAGAGGCGUCUCAGGGAUAAUACAGUUCCACUACCACCUUGGAACUUAUAAAGCUGACCGAUGGCGGGAUAACCAUCCAA